AACGUAGGAGACGAGCGUUAUCCGGAUUUACUGGGCGUAAAGCGUGUGCAGGCGGUUCGGCAAGUUGGAUGUGAAAUCUCCCGGCUCAACUGGGAGGGGUCGUUCAAUGCUACCGAACUUGAGGACAUCAGAGGAAGGUGGAAUUCCGGGUGUAGUGGUGAAAUGCGUAGAUAUCCGGAGGAACACCAGUGGCGAAGGCGGCCUUCUGGGAUGUUUCUGACGCUCAUACACGAAAGCUAGGGGAGCGAACGGG
rnacentral:rRNA from 1 species